rnacentral:rRNA from 1 species
UACGGGGGGGGCAAGCGUUGUUCGGAAUUACUGGGCGUAAAGGGUGCGUAGGCGGGAUCUUAAGUCAGAGGUGAAAGCCUGGAGCUCAACUCCAGAACUGCCUUUGAUACUGGGAUUCUUGAGUUCGGGAGAGGUGAGCGGAACUGCGAGUGUAGAGGUGAAAUUCGUAGAUAUUCGCAAGAACACCAGUGGCGAAGGCGGCUCACUGGCCCGAUACUGACGCUGAGGCACGAAAGCGUGGGUAGCAAACAGG